rnacentral:rRNA from 1 species
GACGAACGCUGGAGGCGUGCUUAACACAUGCAAGUCGAACGAUGAAAUGGAGCUUGCUCCAUGGAUUAGUGGCGAACGGGUGAGUAACACGUGAAUAACCUGCCCUUAAUUUUGGAAUAACCCAGGGAAACCUGGGCUAAUACCGGAUAAGUAAACCUGUGGCAUCACAUGGUUUUGGAAAGUUUUUCGAUUAAGGAUGGAUUCGCGGCCUAUCAGCUUGUUGGUGAGGUAAUGGCUCACCAAGGCGACGACGGGUAGCCGGCCUGAGAGGGGGAACGGCCAGACGGGGACUGAGACACGGCCCAGACUCCUACGGGAGGCAGCAGUGGGGAAUAUUGCGCAAUGGACGAAAGUUUGACGCAGCGACGCCUCGUGAGGGACGAAGGUCUUCGGAUUGUAAACCUCUUUCAGCAGGGACGAAGCGAAAGUGACGGUACCUGCGGAAGAAGCACCGGCUAACUAUGUGCCAGCAGCCGCGGUAA